GCCUGGGUGGCUCAGUCAGUUAAGCGUCCGACUUCGGCUCAGGUCAUCAUCUCGCGGUUCGUGGGUUCAAGCCCCGCAUCAGGCU
rnacentral:tRNA from 1 species